CCCUUAGAUGUUCUGGGCCGCACGCGCGCUACACUGACGAAUGCAACGAGCUUAUAACCUUGGCCGAAAGGUUUGGGUAAUCUCCAAAUUUCGUCGUGAUGGGGAUAGAUUAUUGCAAUUAUUAAUCUUCAACGAGGAAUGCCUAGUAAGCGCAAGUCAUCAGCUUGCGUUGAUUACGUCCCUGCCCUUUGUACACACCGCCCGUCGCUCCUACCGAUUGAAUGGUCCGGUGAAGCGUUCGGACCGUGGCCUUUGGACGGUUCGCCGUCUGUUGGCUGCGGGAAGUUCGUUAAACCUUAUCAUUUAGAGGAAGGAGAANUCGUANCA
rnacentral:rRNA from 1 species